rnacentral:rRNA from 1 species
GACGAACCGUGCGAACGUUGUUCGGAUUCACUGGGCUUAAAGGGCGCGUAGGCGGGCGAUCAAGUCAGGGGUGAAAUCUUUCGGCUUAACCGGAAAACAGCCCCUGAUACUGGCCGUCUUGAGGGAGGUAGGGGCAUGCGGAACUUCCGGUGGAGCGGUGAGAUGCGUUGAUAUCGGAAGGAACUCCGGUGGCGAAAGCGGCGUGCUGGACCUCAUCUGACGCUGAGGCGCGAAAGCUAGGGUAGCGAACGGG